UGAGGGAAAGGUGAAAAGAACCCCGGGAGGGGAGUGAAAUAGAAUCUGAAACCCUGCACUUACAAGCUGUGGGAGCACAUUACUUGUGUGACCGCGUACUUUUUGUAGAACGGGCCAACGAGUUACGUUAAGUAGCAAGGUUAAGCACUUAAGGUGUGGAGCCGUAGCGAAAGCGAGUCUUAAAUGGGCGAUUAAGUUACUUGGCGUAGACCCGAAACCGGGCGACCUAUCCAUGAGCAGGUUGAAGCGAAAGUAAAAUUUCGUGGAGGACCGAACCCACGAGCGUUGAAAAGCUCGGGGAUGACUUGUGGAUAGCGGUGAAAUUCCAAUCGAGCCCGGAGAUAGCUGGUUCUCCCCGAAAUAGCUUUAGGGCUAGCCUCAAGCGUAGAGAAACGGAGGUAGAGCACUGAAUGUCCUAGGGGGUAUUGCACUUACCGAAGACUAUCAAACUCCGAAUGCCGUUUUCUUUUACUUGGGAGUCAGACUGUGGGUGAUAAGAUUCAUAGUCAAAAGGGCAACAGCCCAGAUCGUCAGCUAAGGUCCCUAAAUGUACGUUAAGUGGUAAAGGAUGUGGGAUUGCACAGACAACCAGGAUGUUGGCUUAGAAGCAGCCACUCAUUUAAAGAGUGCGUAAUAGCUCACUGGUCGAGUGAUCCUGCGCCGAAAAUUUCCGGGGCUAAAACGUACUACCGAAGCUACGGCAUCAUUUAUGAUGGGUAGGGGAGCUUCGUAUGCAGGCUGAAGCAUGACCGUAAGGACAUGUGGACAGUAUACGAGUGAGAAUGUUGGCAUGAGUAGCGAGACGUGGGUGAGAAUCCCACGGGCCGUAAACCCAAGGUUUCCAGGGGAAGGUUCGUCCGCCCUGGGUUAGUCGGGACCUAAGCCGAGGCCGAAAGGCGUAGGUGAUGGACAACAGGUUGAUAUUCCUGUACCGCCAAUAAGCGUUUGAGAGAUGGAGUGACACAGUAGGAUAAGCUAACCGUACUGUUGGUUAUGUACGGCUAAGCAUUGAGGCAGUCUAAAUAGGCAAAUCCGUUUAGACAAUGCUAGGAUGUGAUGGGGAAGCCCUUCGGGGCGAAGUAGCUGAUUUCACACUGUCAAGAAAAGCUUCUAUCGAGUUUAAAGGCGCCCGUACCGUAAACCGACACAGGUGGGUGAGGAGAGUAUCCUAAGGCCAGCGAGAGAACUAUUGUUAAGGAACUCGGCAAAAUGACCCCGUAACUUAGGGAGAAGGGGUGCCUGUCUAUGACAGGCCGCAGAGAAUAGGCCCAAGCGACUGUUUACCAAAAACACAGGUUUCUGCUAAGUCGCAAGACGAUGUAUAGGAGCUGACGCCUGCCCGGUGCUGGAAGGUUAAGGGGAUCUGUUAGAGCAAUCGAAGCAGUGAACUUAAGCCCCAGUAAACGGCGGCCGUAACUAUAACGGUCCUAAGGUAGCGAAAUUCCUUGUCGGGUAAGUUCCGACCCGCACGAAAGGCGUAACGAUUUGGGCACUGUCUCAACAAUAGACUCGGUGAAAUUGUAAUCCCGGUGAAGAUGCCGGGUACCUGCGACAGGACGGAAAGACCCCAUGGAGCUUUACUGUAGCUUGACGUUGGGUCUUGGUACUACAUGUACAGGAUAGGUGGGAGACUAUGAAGCAUGGACGCCAGUCUGUGUGGAGUCAUCCUUGGGAUACCACCCUUGUAGUACUGGGAUCCUAACCAUAGGCCUUGAAUCAGGUCUUGGAACACCGUCAGGUGGGCAGUUUGACUGGGGCGGUCGCCUCCUAAAAAGUAACGGAGGCGCUCAAAGGUUUCCUCAGCACGGUCGGAAAUCGUGCGAAGAGUGUAAAGGCAAAAGGAAGCUUGAUUGCAAGACAUACAGGUCGAGCAAGGACGAAAGUCGGACUUAGUGAUCCGGUGGUACCGCAUGGAAGGGCCAUCGCUCAACGGAUAAAAGCUACCCUGGGGAUAACAGGCUUAUCUCCCCCAAGAGUCCACAUCGACGGGGAGGUUUGGCAC
rnacentral:rRNA from 1 species